GUGCUUCUUUUUCUGCACAUGUACUAAAAUUGGAAUGAUACAGAGAAGAUUAGCAUGGCACCUGUACAAGGAGGACAUGCACAUUCAUGAAGCUUCUGUAUUUCUG
ensembl:snRNA U6 U6 spliceosomal RNA